rnacentral:lncRNA from 1 species
CCUUAAUCACUUCAUUUUAAACCACACAAGCCACCAACCUCUGAUUAUAACUUUCAAACCUGCAAUUUCAUUCCAAAAAUUUUGCCAAAAAGCUGAAGAACAAGUAAUUUAGUACUAUACCCAGAAACUCGGCGCAAACGGAUCUAGGAAUCUAGGCCUAACGAGUGAUACGCGGAAAGGUGUGGAUUAGCAUACUUUGAUAGCCUAGUACCUAUGCAAUCUGUAACCAGGACACUACGUGACGACCCCUUUUGUGUUAGCUGCUUGUGAAGUUUAUGUUCGAUACUAUGUGGAUAGAGGCAUGCUACUUAGCUAAAUAAAACGGUUCAUGGAAACUCGCGUAGUAUCUAGCAAAAAUAUGUAACAGUAAUGUGUAAUAGCGAUACAUAAAACAAUGAUGUAUCAUAUUGUUUAAUUAAUGUUUAAUAGAGUAUCUUUAUAACAAUGACUCAA